CCACGUAGCAUACGCUCCCACAAACUGCGGCCCAAACUUUCUUCUCCGCUUCCCUCGGCUGAGGAGCAAUUACAGCUCUGUCCAGCACCCGCCUUUAAUUAUUCCUGCAAAGAGCAUUCAUUUCCUGGACACCUCCGAUUGAGAAGAUGAGAUGGUAGGAUGCUUUCUAGUGUGGGUGAGAUAGGGUGUUGGUCAGAGCAAGGAUGUUGAGCGGAAUAGGACAGAAGAAAACACUUUUGAAAAAGCAAAGCCCAGGGAUUUGACUACUGAGGCCAUUUUAAUGUCUGCAAUGUCCUGUGGUGCUUUUGUGACAGGCCAGAUGUUUUCACAGAAACACACCCAGAGAUGGGAGCGGAGAACAAAGAUGUGCCGGAGAGGCGGCGAGCUCUGGGUCAGUGCCAGGUGAGACGACCCUCACAAAGUGAUGUGUUCUGCAAAGUGUGUCACGUUAACAGCACGUCGCAUCGCAGUCUGCCAAAACCCAUGGUUCCAACCACAGUGCCAGGCACGGACAGCCCCGGUAGAAGAGUGGGGACACAGGAUGCCCAACGGUUGCCAGAGGCCCGUGACACAAUAUGCGGCAUCUGUGUUAUUAUAUUGAGAAUGGCAUUGACUGGAAGGUUGUUAUCUUGGAGGGGAAAUGAGUUUUACACCUUUUCAAAGUUACUUCAACACAACUUGAAAACAAAAACUUAAUUUCCCUAAAAAAAAAAAAAACUAAAUAUUGACACCUUUGGCUCUCAAGCACAAUCCAAAACAGCAGGUGGAGUUACACCCCGAAACAUGUGGCCAUUUCACUCCAUGAGAGGCAUUCUGUAAAAGACACAGGACCUAUGGAGUUACUUCUUAUUAUUACACAUAGCGUAUAUAUAAAGUUAACAAAACAAUAAACAAACAACUGACUUAGUAGAAAAUACUUAGCCUGUGUGUUCCUGCUGUGCUGCAAAGCUAAUGGUACAUUCCUGCCACACACACACACGCGCGCGCGCAUGCACACAACACACAUACACACACCGCAUCUCAUUCAUUGUCUAUUCUUGUCUUGUCCCCCCCCUCCCAUCCAGCAGCUGAAGGGCAGGUCCUAUUCUUAAUUGAUCUGCGGAGAUUUCGGCUAACCUUCUUACUUUUGCAAAGAGAGAUGAGAGAGCACAGAUUAGAGGCAGGUAACAGGGCGGGGCGAGGGAAGAUUGAUGGGUGCUUCUUUUGCCGCUGCUGAUAUAGUAUAUCUACGACACUGCAAUGAGUUUAUGAAUCUCUUUGUAUCCAAUAAUUUGCCUGAAACAUCACUGUGAAUCUCUUGCAAUAACCUUGCAAGCAUGACAGAAGGGAACGAUGUGCUUCUCCUCAUCACCAAGUGGAAAAGAAAAGACACCAUGAAUGUCCCUGAACGGUGUUGCCUUUUUUUCAAAGAACAUAGCGAGGUGAUAAGGGGAAACCAUUAUCCAGGCAAUCGAUGAAGAGUGAGGGGGCUUCAUGAUUAAUGUCACCAUGCAUAUCCCAUAGCGAGGCCACAAGGAUGAUUGGUGCCCUGACAUUUACUUUUAGGUAAAAGUCAGGUGGAACAAAACAUUAGGGAUGCAAGAAAAGAAAUAAUGAAAAAGCCCAAAACCACACAGGCUACUAAAGGGAUGGGGAAGAGACUCGCCACUACAGACAAUGGCACAUGCGACAUAAGACAAUGAAAAGUGACUUGUUGAAUGUAAAGAAGAAACUAAAUAGUGCAUUUUAAAGAAUACUAAUGCAAACACACUGACGAGGCAAGAAGGAACAUUUUGAUCUUCCACUAGCACUUGCCAUUCAUGGCUGGUUACUCUCUACUGUUGUUUCAUUUCAAAACAUGACAAUUGUUAAUGUACCACCUCAGAAUACCUUUUCAGUGUCUCUGCUAUUUAGUUUGCACUGUAAUUGUUUAUAGAAUAUCUUAAGACGAGAGUGUAUCUUUCCUCUUCAGUCCAAAGGUGGCUUAAAAUGUGGGGAUAUAUUUGAACCUCUCUUCAUUAAGUCAUGACAUCCAUGUGUUGGUGAGCUCUCUUCAGUGUCAGCUCUCUACUGGAUGCAACUAUUAUUUACAGGAUUAGAGUGGCGGAGAUCUUAGCUCAAGCACUCCCCUGCUCAGAGUGAAGGAGAAAAGACAGGGAAAUUACCAGCUAAUGGAGCACUGGGCACUAAUAUCUAAAUCCCUGAUCUGCCUGUAAUUGCCACAAAAUGCUCUGGCUCGAGCUGUAUGUGAGACUUCUAAGCAACUCAGCUCCCUCACACACCUUCCUUGCUUUAUCACAGCAACAAGAAAAGUAGGAAGAGGGAAUAGAGGUCUUAUUUGCUCCCUUUCAGUCACUCUCCACUUUCCGCAGUGGAAUCCGCAAGACAUCAUUAAUUUCGCUCCUCUCUUGCAUUGGCCCUUGGAAAGGGACCCAAUUGACUGUCUUGAAAUCAGACACACGCACCUCCACCAGUGAUUAAUUUCCUUGUAUAGGGAGAUACUGUAUGGAAUGAGAGUGCUUGGUGGAAAGAUGUUUUAUUUUCAUAAGCAUUCAUAAUGAUUUAAUGACAAGACAUAUAUGACUCACUGCAACUUCGUGCAGAAACAUAUGGUUAGAGUGUAUUCUAGUGAGAAGACCAAUAAAAGAUGCGACUGUCCAACACUAGGCGGGGGUUCAUUAUUGUAGCUGCGGAAUCAUCACAGAAGAACAUUGUUCCAAUUAUUGGCUGUUGAUGACAGUAACAAGUAAGUAUUUUAAAAUUGAGAAUUGUCAUGUUAAACAACUGGUUACCACAUCUGCCUCAAAGUUCUUAGGACCCAGGAUCACAUCUGUCCUUGCUUGUGUGGAGCUUGCAUGUUCUCCUCAUGUCUGCGUUGGUUUUCUACUCUGUCUACUCUGGUUUCUUCCCACAUUCCAACAACAUGCAUGGUAGGUUGACUGAAGACUCAAUUGCCCAUAGGUGUGAAUGUGAAUGGUUGUUUGUA